GCAUUCCUUGGAAAAUCUGAACAAAAUGAGUGAGAACUCACUACCGUCUCCUCAUCGAAACUGA
rnacentral:snoRNA from 1 species